rnacentral:rRNA from 1 species
ACGUAGGGGGCGAGCGUUAUUCGGAAUUACUGGGUGUCAAGGGUAUGUAGGCGGCCCUUCAAGUCGGGUGUCAAAUCCCAGUGCUCAACGCUGGGGGGGCACUCGAUACUGGCGGGCUUGAGGGCUGGAGAGGUGAGCGGAAUUCCCCGUGUAGUGGUAAAAUACGUAUAUAUCCGGAGGAACACCAGCGGCGCAGGCGGCUAACUAGACAGUAUCUGACGCUAAGGUGCGAAAGCGUGUGGAACAAACAG